rnacentral:rRNA from 1 species
UAGGGAAUCUUCGGCAAUGGACGAAAGUCUGACCGAGCAACGCCGCGUGAGUGAAGAAGGUUUUCGGAUCGUAAAACUCUGUUGUUAGAGAAGAACGUUGCAUAGAGUGGAAAAUUAUGCAAGUGACGGUAUCUAACCAGAAAGGGACGGCUAACUACGUGCCAGCAGCCGCGGUAAUACGUAGGUCCCGAGCGUUGUCCGGAUUUAUUGGGCGUAAAGCGAGCGCAGGUGGUUUAAUAAGUCUGAUGUAAAAGGCAGUGGCUCAACCAUUGUGUGCAUUGGAAACUGUUAGACUUGAGUGCAGUAGAGGAGAGUGGAAUUCCAUGUGUAGCGGUGAAAUGCGUAGAUAUAUGGAGGAACACCGGUGGCGAAAGCGGCUCUCUGGACUGUCACUGACACUGAGGCUCGAAAGCGUGGGUAGCAAACAGGAUUAGAUAC